rnacentral:rRNA from 1 species
UAGGGAAUCUUCGGCAAUGGGGGCAACCCUGACCGAGCAACGCCGCGUGAGUGAAGAAGGUUUUCGGAUCGUAAAGCUCUGUUGUAAGAGAAGAACGUGUGUGAGAGUGGAAAGUUCACACAGUGACGGUAACUUACCAGAAAGGGACGGCUAACUACGUGCCAGCAGCCGCGGUAAUACGUAGGUCCCGAGCGUUGUCCGGAUUUAUUGGGCGUAAAGCGAGCGCAGGCGGUUUAAUAAGUCUGAAGUUAAAGGCAGUGGCUUAACCAUUGUUCGCUUUGGAAACUGUUAAACUUGAGUGCAGAAGGGGAGAGUGGAAUUCUAUGUGUAGCGGUGAAAUGCGUAGAUAUAUGGAGGAACACCGGUGGCGAAAGCGGCUCUCUGGUCUGUAACUGACGCUGAGGCUCGAAAGCGUGGGGAGCAAACAGG